AAGGUGGACUGUAGUGCACUAUGGAGGGUUUAAGGUGGACUGUAGUGCACUAUUAAAGGUUUUAAGGUGGACUGUAGUGCACUAUUAAAGGUUUUAAGGUGGACUGUAGUGCACUAUGAAGGGUUUAAGGUGGACUGUAGUGCACUAUUAAAGGUUUAAGGUGGACUAGUGCAUUAUUAAAGGUUUUAAUGGAAGGUAGCGUACUAAGCAGGGUCUAAGGAGGAUAAUAUCACACUAUGAAGGGUUAUAAAGUGCCCUGCAGAAGGUUUAAGGUGGAUAAUAGUGUACUAUGGCAGGUUUAAGGUGGAAAUAGUGCACUACGGAGGGCGUAGGGUGCUGUUUGAGACCUAGCCUUGUUGCCUCAUUGGCAAAACUCAACUAACCAAUCAAACAGUGUUAUUUGUACAAAACUAACAGCUGCUAACUGACUGCUAACAGCUCUCUGUCGUUGUUUGUAAUAAACUUCAUUUUUCAUCCAAGACUCUCUGUACAAGUUUAUUUUAUCUUAUGUUAUUUAAGAGUUUGUGUCACAUAUAAAAGGAUCAAUGAGGGUUUUAUGUGUUUUAGUUUAAAUUUAAAGGGUUAACAUGUGAAAAUAAACGUAUGAAUAACUUG